rnacentral:rRNA from 1 species
AUGUGGCAGAGGAAUAUCAAUUUUCACGGUGUUGCCACAUGGGUGCUAUGGAAAACAAUUGACAUGCAUAUGAUUAUUGGGCUCCCUAAACAGAUUCAAGGAAAGAGGGCAGUUGUGAGACGUAUAUUGGGAUCCCUUGAGGAUAGUGAUGAAAUACUUCUAUCUGUGGGCCGUGGUGCCUAUAAGGUUCAACUUAAGUCGAUGAAGUCUAAAAAACUUUGUGAAAACGGUUAUUUAACUCGCUAUCAUUCUUUCAACAGUUUCUAUCCUCCAGGUGAUUUUUCAUCCUUAGUCCUCGUAUUGUAG